CAAUAAAUUAUACUAAAGUUGUUGCGGUUAAAAAGCUCGUAGUUGGAUUUCUGCCGAGGACGACCGGUCCGCCCUCUGGGUGUGUAUCUGGUUUGGCCUGGGCAUCUUCUUGGAGAACGUAGCUGCACUUGACUGUGUGGUGCGGUGUCCAGGACUUUUACUUUGAGGAAAUUAGAGUGUUCAAAGCAGGCUUAUGCCGUUGAAUAUAUUAGCAUGGAAUAAUAAGAUAGGACUUUGGUACUAUUUUGUUGGUUUGCGCACCAAAGUAAUGAUUAAUAGGGACAGUUGGGGGUAUUCGUAUUCCGUUGUCAGAGGUGAAAUUCUUGGAUUUACGGAAGACGAACUACUGCGAAAGCAUUUACCAAGGAUGUUUUCAUUAA
rnacentral:rRNA from 1 species